AGCUGCAGAAGAAACUCAGAUUUUAGAGAAGCACUAUGUAGAAAUCUGCCCUGUGGGGCGUGGGACCAAAAUUAAAGGGGUCGAAAAGACUUACAAAAUGUUGAAGAUUUAACCUGAUAAGUUUUGAGAAAAUGAGAAAAAUAAUAUGAUACAGUUGGUUUAGGUGGGAUGUUGGGAUAAAAUUUGAGUUAAAUUUAUUGAGUCUAGAUUUUUAAAAUCCCCUAUAAAAGAGCUAAGAAAGUGUUAGAAAUGUGGUUGUAAAUGAAGGGCAGGUUUGUGGGGUAAUGAGUGGAAAACAAAAAUGGUUAUUCCAAGAACAGUACAAGUUUUCUCACUUGAAAAGUAAAGAAAUAGAAUUUGAAAAUAAGUAUGAGGAAGCAUGUGUAGUCCAACACAGGCACUGUGGCAUAGUGUUUAGCAAACUUGAGAGCCUGCUUUAAAAUAGGUUUUUGUGGCAAAAUAUAUGUUACCUAAAAAUUACCGUAAGUAGAGCUAAGUGCGUUCACUUUGGUGUACCACCAGGCUCCUGAAUUCUUUACAUCUUCCCAAAGUUAACUAUUAAACAGUGACUUUCCAUUUUCCCCUGGCAACCACCGUUCUACCUUGUUGUUUCUAUAACUUCUCUAGGUACCUCAUUUAAACGAGAUCAUUGCAUGUGGGAUAAUGUCCUCAAGAUUCAUCCAUGUUGUACCAUCCAUUAGAAUUGCCUUUUUAAAGCUGAGUAAUACUGUUCUUUCUCUAACAGAAAAGAUUGUUUAUUAGAACUGGGUCAUGCAGGAAAGAAAGAUUGGGGUUCCGCGUAGCCAGAUAGGGUUAACAACAUUGUCCUGUUGCACCCAGUGAGAGAGAACCAACCAGAGACCGAUAUUAAAUCCACACAGGAGUUUAUUACCGGCCGGGACCCGAGCCGAGCAUCGGACUGGAGCCCCGACUGGGGGUUGACAGGCAUGUUUUAUACACCUUUGAGGCCAGGAGUUUCUAGGCCCCCCUGUGGGAUAGAAGUAGUAAAGCAAGCAAAAGGUACAGAAGCGGAACGUCCUGCCGGUGGAACAUUUGUGAAACAGUAGUUGAUUCACUGUUGUUUCUAAGAGACUCUCUAAGGGGAGGAGGUUGCUAAGCUUCCUCCUUCUGAGUUCAUCUAAAGGGCAGGCAGGUGGGUCAAGCAGCAAUAUGGAGUCUGUCUCGCUAACCAGGGUCCUUCAGUCCCAUUGCCUCUGAGCAAGAGACAGUAAUGGGACAGCCUGCAUCUCACAGCUCGGCAUGCCCAAGUUCCAGGAGGACCUAAGGGUCAAGUGGAAGCAGCAAGGGCAGGGUUUGUGCUUCCUCACCAACCCAGUCCUCUGACCCAGAACGUGCCAGUCAGGGGAAAGAACAUACUGUAGGUGUGCUGCCAAUAAUGAAACUGGGAACCGAAAGAGGCUAAGCCACACCCGUUCCUCCUAGCAGUGGAGCCCACAUCCUGUUCCUUCUGAGCCCAUCACCAAUAUUUAGGACCUUCAGAAUAAAAGGUCAGAAUGCACCAGCAGCAGGGUUGCCAGAUGCCCAAUUAUAUUUGAAUUUCAGAUAAAAAACAAUUGUUCCUGCAUGAGACAUUUAUACUAAAAAUAUUUUAUCGCUAUCUGAAACUCAAGUUUAACUGGGCUCGCUGAUUUUUGUUUUUGUUUUGCUAAAUCUAGCAUCUAGAUCGGACAGCUAUGUCUUAGAAGAGGUGGCACCUUCCAAACUGGGGAAGGAUUUUCAACUUUGAAAUCUGUGGAGAUUGCCUGACAUACUUCAUCAGAGCUACCUCAGAUGGUUUUGAAAGAUUCAUAAUUUCUCCCAUGUGAUAAACUAAUGCUUUUACUUUGCAGUGAUUCUGAACUUUUAAAAAAUUCCUAGAAUAACCUCGACUCAGAAAUUAAAAAUAAAACUUUAAUUAAACUCUACUGAAACAUUG